rnacentral:rRNA from 1 species
AUGGUUACAAGACUCGAGGGGAAUAACAAGCAACCAAUUAGGAUGGGGAGAUGGGGAUUAACAGGUUCUGGAUUUACUUGGGUUUCAACCAGCCGCAAGCGGAGGACCUGCAAUGUAAAUCCUCUCUCCUUGCUCCUGUCAUACCGGUUGUUUAGGUAUCUUUCUGUUCUUCGUAAUUUGCUUCACCCAGUUUAG